UACGUAGGGUGCAAGCGUUAAUCGGAAUUACUGGGCGUAAAGCGUGCGCAGGCGGUUAUGUAAGACAGUUGUGAAAUCCCCGGGCUCAACCUGGGAAUUGCGUCUGUGACUGCAUAGCUAGAGUACGGUAGAGGGGGAUGGAAUUCCGCGUGUAGCAGUGAAAUGCGUAGAUAUGCGGAGGAACACCGAUGGCGAAGGCAAUCCCCUGGACCUGUACUGACGCUCAUGCACGAAAGCGUGGGGAGCAAACAGG
rnacentral:rRNA from 1 species